AGAUUGAACGCUGGCGGCAGGCCUAACACAUGCAAGUCGAGCGGCAGCACGGGUACUUGUACCUGGUGGCGAGCGGCGGACGGGUGAGUAAUGCCUAGGAAUCUGCCUGAUAGGUGGGGGAUAACGGUUCGGAAACGGACGCUAAUACCGCAUACGUCCUACGGGAGAAAGGUGGGGGAUCGUUCGGACCUCACGCUAUCAGAUGAGCCUAGGUCGGUAUUAGCGUAGUUAGGUAGGGGUAAAGGCCUACCGAAGGCUACGAUCCGUAACUGGUCUGGAGAGGAUGAUCAGUCAACACUGGAACUGAGACCACGGUCCAGACCUCCGACGGGA
rnacentral:rRNA from 1 species